UUCCAUUGAGAUUUCAUCCCCUCUGCAAUACAGUAACAGAUCAUCUGCAAAGCAAAUGUGACUGAUUUGUAGUUGGGAACACUUGGGGUGGAAGUUGAAAUCUGGAUUCCUGUGCAGUUUUUUCAGGGAUCUGUUGAGGUAUUUCAUUACUAGGACAAACAGGUAGGGGGGCAUGGGGUCUCCCUGCCUUAGUCCCUUUCUUGCUGCAAA
rnacentral:lncRNA from 1 species